rnacentral:rRNA from 2 species
GGACUACUGGGGUAUCUAAUCCUGUUCGCUACCCACGCUUUCGUCCAUCAGCGUCAGUUGUAUCUUAGUAACCUGCCUUCGCAAUUGGUGUUCUAAGUAAUAUCUAUGCAUUUCACCGCUACACUACUUAUUCCAGCUACUUCAAAUACACUCAAGACUUGCAGUAUCAAUGGCAGUUCUACAGUUAAGCUGUAGGAUUUCACCACUGACUUACAAAUCCGCCUACGGACCCUUUAAACCCAAUAAAUCCGGAUAACGCUUGCACCCUCCGUAUUACCGCGGCUGCUGGCAC